CCUGUCUUCAGGGCUCAGCCACGGGACAGCAUGUCUCAUUGCUUCAUGACCUUGCCAGUGUGCACACGGCGCUUUGGACUUACCAUUCAUUAUCUGUCGAUGGGUUGCUUCCACCUCUUGGCAACUGUGACUGACACUGGACGAAUGGACACAGAAUGAGUGCCUGCCACCCAGGACUGUGCUUUGCACACACAGGAGUCGAGGGGUGUCCAGGGAGGAUCACCACCCAGUGUGCAGCAGAAGCCAGAACACACCAAGGGAGCCCACCUUGGUCUCCGAGUCCUCUGGCAGAGAGUAUGACCCACAGCAGGGUGCUGACAAAGAAAGCCCAAGUGCUUCGGAAGACAGCUGCACGCAAGCACGCGCCCCUUGACGAGGAGAAAUGAGAGGCUUCUGACAGAGGAAACCAGCUGCAGCCAGUUGGACAGGCCUGUUUGCUCCACCCGCUCCAGGCAGCCUGGGAAGACCAAGGACCCUGGUAGAGGAGGAGCACAGAGGAGCCACCACUGCCACCACCUACUUCCCCUUGAGCAGAGGGACCACCGUAU